GACUUACAGAAAGGGACACAAAUCGUAUUUCCGAGAUAUCAUUUCCCGGUAAUUCUACUUCGGAACGACUUGAACUACACGAAUUUUGCGAUGAGAGUCCAAAAGCUUAUGAAGCGACUGCAUAUCUGAACAACGGAACCGAAACCUAACACUUCCACAACUAGAACUUAUGGCAGCAGUUAUCGGAACUAUGUAAAAUCGACUUUUGAAUGGAGAAAACGUGGUUUUCUGGUCGGUAUAAGACUGGUCAAAAUCUCCGAAACCGUUAAAACGAUUUAUUGCGAUUUAAGUGCGAGAAAUUACGGAAUCUACAAAUCAACAUGAAUGGAGAUAUUGUCCAACAGAAUACAAUCCAACAGAUCUUUUAACACGAAGAAUUGACGCCGAUCAAUACAUCAAUAGUGUCAUUUUGAAAAAAAAAACUAAAUUGGUUAACGAAUCGGACGAAAU
rnacentral:lncRNA from 1 species